UCCUCCAAGGCUAAAUACUCCUGACUGACCGAUAGUGAACCAGUACCGUGAGGGAAAGGCGAAAAGAACCCCGGCGAGGGGAGUGAAAAAGAACCUGAAACCGUGUACGUACAAGCAGUGGGAGCACCCUUUGGGGUGUGACUGCGUACCUUUUGUAUAAUGGGUCAGCGACUUAUAUUCUGUAGCAAGGUUAACCGAAUAGGGGAGCCGGAGGGAAACCGAGUCUUAAUUGGGCGUUAAGUUGCAGGGUAUAGACCCGAAACC
rnacentral:rRNA from 5 species